GAUCCUGGCUCAGAACGAACGCUGGCGGCAUGCCUAACACAUGCAAGUCGAACGAGACCUUCGGGUCUAGUGGCGCACGGGUGCGUAACGCGUGGGAAUCUGCCCUUGGGUUCGGAAUAACAGUUAGAAAUGACUGCUAAUACCGGAUAAUGUCUUCGGACCAAAGAUUUAUCGCCCAGGGAUGAGCCCGCGUAGGAUUAGCUAGUUGGUGAGGUAAAGGCUCACCAAGGCGACGAUCCUUAGCUGGUCUGAGAGGAUGAUCAGCCACACUGGGACUGAGACACGGCCCAGACUCCUACGGGAGGCAGCAGUGGGGAAUAUUGGACAAUGGGCGAAAGCCUGAUCCAGCAAUGCCGCGUGAGUGAUGAAGGCCUUAGGGUUGUAAAGCUCUUUUACCCGGGAUGAUAAUGACAGUACCGGGAGAAUAAGCCCCGGCUAACUCCGUG
rnacentral:rRNA from 1 species